UGUGGCUGUCUCCCCACCUUCUCGGUGGGAGUGUCUCUGCAGGUUUAGUCCAAGUUGUGGCUACAAACUAUCACCUGAGGGACAGAAACCCUGUAGCCGAGCAGACAGCUUUUCAACUCCCCACUUGGGCUUUCUGGUGGAAAACUCACUGGUGAUUUGGAGGGCUUUCCAUCGAGAAGAUCUAUAUAUGAGGAAAUGCUCUGGACUGCAGUCACUUGGGAAGACAGGGAAAAGUCCAAAGAAAAAGAGGAAUCAUCUCUCACAGGACGACUCUCAACGCGGUUUGCACAUCACCUUCGGUUUUACCUCCUCGUGAUGGUUCCCUGUCCAAUGUCGAAUUCUGAAGUUUUUAUGGUUGACAUUGGGUAAUUUGUAUAUUUUCUUGAAACUGAACUUUCCCUAUAUUCCAGAACAUGCGCCUUCCACAUUUCCCACAUGGUUUUUGAAACAGAAAAAAAAAAGUCACGCACGGUAAACGUUUUGCACAAAUCUCUGCCCACCUUUUAGAUAAUUUGCCUCACGCGGAUUCCUACCAGCUGACACAUAUUUCCACAUGCCUUUAACCAGGAACAUAGGUCAGCGCCUGCAUCACUGCAUCCUGAGAGCACUGGUAAAUUUUUAAGCGUUGCUGAAUGGAAAGGUAAACAAUAUUCUGUCCUUGUUCUAAGAUAACAAUUUUCUGUGUAAGAUUCAAUAUCUUUUCAUAUAAUUAGUACUUUUGUUAUUUAUUUGUAUAUCCUCGUGUAAAACGGAUUGGCGAGAAUUCACAUAAAGAGAUCUCAUCAAGUUUAAAACGAGUGCUUGAGAGAGUAAGGAGAAGUGAGAAUUAAAAGAGAAAAUGGAGCUAGAGAGGAUUGAAAUUAGUUCACUAAGUCCAUGUCUCCUUUCCUUUUUCCACUUCCCUGCCCUCCCCUCCCCCAUUUUUUGCCAUUGCCCCCCACCCAAAAAAAACCUUCACAAACCACAAUGAGCACAAAAACAGCUCUCAAAGGACACAGCUGAGUGACAGCUGCAGGCAUGAGAUUGAACCAAAGAACGAGGCAAGAGGUACCCAGGAGUGCAGUGAACUCCCACGCUCUCCAAACACUAGUCUGGAGCAGUUACUGUAUGGUGCCUUGGCUGGGAUAGGUGUGAAGUGUCACCAGACCCUACUGAGGUUUCAGACUAGGGUUGAGCCCACAGAGUAUCCCUCCC